rnacentral:rRNA from 1 species
UCCUGGCUCAGGAUGAACGCUAGCUACAGGCUUAACACAUGCAAGUCGAGGGGCAGCAUGGUCUUAGCUUGCUAAGACUGAUGGCGACCGGCGCACGGGUGAGUAACGCGUAUCCAACCUGGCCCAUAGUAGGGAACAGCCCGGCGAAAGUCGGAUUAAUGCCCUAUGUUAUCCGUAGACGGCAUCAGAUGCGGAGCAAAGAUUUAUCGCUAUGGGAUGGGGAUGCGUCUGAUUAGGUAGUAGGCGGGGCAACGGCCCACCUAGCCGACGAUCAGUAGGGGUUCUGAGAGGAAGGUCCCCCACAUUGGAACUGAGACACGGUCCAAACUCCUACGGGAGGCAGCAGUGAGGAAUAUUGGUCAAUGGGCGUGAGCCUGAACCAGCCAAGUAGCGUGAGGGAAGACGGCCCUACGGGUUGUAAACCUCUUUUGUACGGGAAUAAAGUGCGGGACGCGUCCCGUUUUGUAUGUACCGUAAGAAUAAGGACCGGCUAAUUCCGUGCCAGCAGCGGC